rnacentral:rRNA from 1 species
GAUGAACCCAGAUGGGAUUAGCUAGUAGGCGGGGUAAUGGCCCACCUAGGCGACGAUCCCUAGCUGGUCUGAGAGGAUGACCAGCCACACUGGAACUGAGACACGGUCCAGACUCCUACGGGAGGCAGCAGUGGGGAAUAUUGCACAAUGGGCGCAAGCCUGAUGCAGCCAUGCCGCGUGUAUGAAGAAGGCCUUCGGGUUGUAAAGUACUUUCAGCGGGGAGGAAGGCGGUGCGGUUAAUAACCGCGCCGAUUGACGUUACCCGCAGAAGAAGCACCGGCUAACUCCGUGCCAGCAGCCGCGGUAAUACGGAGGGUGCAAGCGUUAAUCGGAAUUACUGGGCGUAAAGCGCACGCAGGCGGUCUGUUAAGUCAGAUGUGAAAUCCCCGGGCUUAACCUGGGAACUGCAUUUGAAACUGGCAGGCUUGAGUCUCGUAGAGGGGGGUAGAAUUCCAGGUGUAGCGGUGAAAUGCGUAGAGAUCUGGAGGAAUACCGGUGGCGAAGGCGGCCCCCUGGACGAAGACUGACGCUCAGGUGCGAAAGCGUGGGG